rnacentral:rRNA from 1 species
UAGGGAAUCUUCCGCAAUGGGCGAAAGCCUGACGGAGCAACGCCGCGUGAGUGAAGAAGGAUUUCGGUUCGUAAAGCUCUGUUGUUAGGGAAGAAUGGAUAUGUAGUAACUAUACAUGUACGAGACGGUACCUAACCAGAAAGCCACGGCUAACUACGUGCCAGCAGCCGCGGUAAUACGUAGGUGGCAAGCGUUGUCCGGAAUUAUUGGGCGUAAAGCGCGCGCAGGUGGUUUAAUAAGUCUGAUGUGAAAGCCCACGGCUCAACCGUGGAGGGUCAUUGGAAACUGUUAAACUUGAGUGCAGGAGAGAAAAGUGGAAUUCCUAGUGUAGCGGUGAAAUGCGUAGAGAUUAGGAGGAACACCAGUGGCGAAGGCGGCUUUUUGGCCUGUAACUGACACUGAGGCGCGAAAGCGUGGGGAGCAAACAGGAUUAGAUACCCUGGUAGUCCACGCCGUAAACGAUGAGUGCUAAGUGUUGGUCUCAUAAGAGAUCAGUGCUGCAGCUAACGCAUUAAGCACUCCGCCUGGGGAGUACGACCGCAAGGUUG